GGUAAUUGGAUUACAGUUACUUUGUUGAAAUAAAUGGAUUACACAGAGGGAUUUUCCUGUUUUCACAUUUUGGGCUAUUCCCCUUUUUUUUUUUUUCUCGGUAAUUCCACUCAUUGCCAGACACUAAACCAGGUCUAAACCAGGUCUAAACCAGGUCUAAACCCGGUCUAAACCCGGUCUAAACUCAGGUACAAACCAGGUCGAAACCAUGUCUAAACCAGGACUAAACCAGAUCUAAAACCAGGUCCAAACCAGUUUCAAACCUGGUCUAAAUCAGGUCUAAAACCAGAUCUAAACCAGGUCUAAACCAGGAUUUAACAGGACUAAACCAUGUUGCACGGACCAUGACUCCUCCUCUUCUAUCAAUAAUAUUUUAAGUAAAGUAAAUUAUCUUUUAACAGACAAAAUAUCUUAUGUGAAGAUUUCCUCGUUUUUGCUUCUCUACAACAAACCAAGUAAUCCAAAGUAUUCAGAUUACGU